rnacentral:rRNA from 1 species
ACACGACUACAUUAGAUACCCCUGUAGUCCUAGCCGUAAACGAUACUCGCUAGGUGUCGGCCACGGUGCGACCGUUGUCGGUGCCGUAGGGAAGCCGUGAAGCGAGCCACCUGGGAAGUACGGCCGCAAGGCUGAAACUUAAAGGAAUUGGCGGGGAGCACCACAACGGGUGGAGCUUGCGGUUUAAUUGGAUUCAACGCCGGAAAACUCAUCGGGAGCGACAGCAGUAUGAUUGCCAGGUUGAUGACCUUGCUUGACAAGCUG